UUAGGGUCCAACCUAAUUCUGCAUAAUGGUUUAUUUUUGUAGUCUCGCUUUUGGACCAGAUUAAUAUUCCUUUAUUAUCCUUGUGCUUGUGAUAAUAUCCUAGUUCAAUGCACAUGAGAAACGUAAAAGAACAUUG